rnacentral:rRNA from 1 species
UACGUAGGGGGCAAGCGUUGUCCGGAUUUAUUGGGCGUAAAGAGCGUGUAGGCGGCCUGGUAGGUCAGCUGUGAAAACUCGAGGCUCAACCUCGAGACGCCGGUUGAAACCAUCAGGCUAGAGUCCGGAAGAGGAGAGUGGAAUUCCCGGUGUAGCGGUGAAAUGCGCAGAUAUCGGGAAGAACACCCGUGGCUAAGGCGGCUCUCUAGUACGGUACUGACGCUGAGACGCGAAAGCGUGGGGAGCGAACGAGG